GGCUAUACAUGCAGUCGAGCGAUGGAUUAAGAGCUUGCUCUUAUGAAGUUAGCGGCGGCACGGGUGAGUAACACGUGGGUAACCUGCCCAUAAGACUGGGAUAACUCCGGGAAACCGGGGCUAAUACCGGAUAACAUUUUGAACCGCAUGGUUCGAAAUUGAAAGGCGGCUUCGGCUGUCACUUAUGGAUGGACCCGCGUCGCAUUAGCUAGUUGGUGAGGUAACGGCUCACCAAGGCAACGAUGCGUAGCCGACCUGAGAGGGUGAUCGGCCACACUGGGACUGAGACACGGCCCAGACUCCUACGGGAGGCAGCAGUAGGGAAUCUUCCGCAAUGGACGAAAGUCUGACGGAGCAACGCCGCGUGAGUGAUGAAGGCUUUCGGGUCGUAAAACUCUGUUGUUAGGGAAGAACAAGUGCUAGUUGAAUAAGCUGGCACCUUGACGGUACCUAACCAGAAAGCCACGGCUAACUACGUGCCAGCAGCCGCGGUAAUACGUAGGUGGCAAGCGUUAUCCGGAAUUAUUGGGCGUAAAGCGCGCGCAGGUGGUUUCUUAAGUCUGAUGUGAAAGCCCACGGCUCAACCGUGGAGGGUCAUUGGAAACUGGGAGACUUGAGUGCAGAAGAGGAAAGUAAAUUCCAUGUGUAGCGGUGAAAUGCGUAAGAUAUGGAGGAACACCAGUGGCGAAGCCGACUUUCUGGUCUGUACUGAACUG
rnacentral:rRNA from 1 species